UUUCGAACAUUGCAAAGGAGCAGUGACUGCUUCCCAUCCUGAUGGAUCAGCUGACGAUCAACCAAAUGAUGCGGAUGGUGACGCAGCGGCAAUGAACUAUGCCGCAAUUGGUUUCAACUCAAGAAAAGCUACAAGAUGGAAUAACAGGAAUUUACCAGAGGACUGUACAUACUCAAGCAUCAGAAACACUGUCAGACAAUAAUUUUGAUGCAACUCAUUGAGAAGAUGAUGAUGGAUUAAAUAAUGUAUAAUAACAAAUGAUGUGUGUAUGAAUUGAUUGAUUAAAAGAUUUUUGCAGUCAU